AGUAAUGCAAGUCAGAGCGAACAGAAGGGAGCUUGCUCCCGGAUGUUAGCGGCGGACGGGUGAGUAACACGUGGGUAACCUGCCUGUAAGACUGGGAUAACUCCGGGAAACCGGAGCUAAUACCGGAUAGUUCCUUGAACCGCAUGGUUCAAGGAUGAAAGACGGUUUCGGCUGUCACUUACAGAUGGACCCGCGGCGCAUUAGCUAGUUGGUGGGGUAAUGGCUCACCAAGGCGACGAUGCGUAGCCGACCUGAGAGGGUGAUCGGCCACACUGGGACUGAGACACGGCCCAGACUCCUACGGGAGGCAGCAGUAGGGAAUCUUCCGCAAUGGACGAAAGUCUGACGGAGCAACGCCGCGUGAGUGAUGAAGGUUUUCGGAUCGUAAAGCUCUGUUGUUAGGGAAGAACAAGUGCGAGAGUAACUGCUCGCACCUUGACGGUACCUAACCAGAAAGCCACGGCUAACUACGUGCCAGCAGCCGCGGUAAUACGUAGGUGGCAAGCGUUGUCCGGAAUUAUUGGGCGUAAAGGGCUCGCAGGCGGUUUCUUAAGUCUGAUGUGAAAGCCCCCGGCUCAACCGGGGAGGGUCAUUGGAAACUGGGAAACUUGAGUGCAGAAGAGGAGAGUGGAAUUCCACGUGUAGCGGUGAAAUGCGUAGAGAUGUGGAGGAACACCAGUGGCGAAGGCGACUCUCUGGUCUGUAACUGACGCUGAGGAGCGAAAGCGUGGGGAGCGAACAGGAUUAGAUACCCUGGUAGUCCACGCCGUAAACGAUGAGUGCUAAUGGUUAGGGGGUUUCCGCCCCUUAGUGCUGCAGCUAACGCAUUAAGCACUCCGCCUGGGGGAGUACGGUCGCAAGACUGAAACUCAAAGGAAUUGACGGGGGCCGCACAAC
rnacentral:rRNA from 1 species